rnacentral:rRNA from 1 species
UACGUAGGGGGCUAGCGUUGUCCGGAAUCAUUGGGCGUAAAGAGCGUGUAGGCGGCCCGGUAAGUCCGCUGUAAAAGUCAAAGGCUCAACCUUUGAAUGUCAGUGGAUACUGCCGGGCUAGAGUCCGGAAGAGGCGAGUGGAACUCCUGGUGUAGCGGUGAAAUGCGUAGAUAUCGAGAGGAACACCUGCGGCGAAGGCGGGUAGCUGGGCCGACACUGACGCUGAGGCGCGAAAGCCAGGGGAGCGAACGGG